CAUUCAGAAGACUGGAGGUGAUAGAAGGCGGGUCUGAGUGAACAGGUGAUGGUGCUGUUUUAGUGGGCAUGAAACUAGGCAUCUCUUCAGGUAGUUGUGGUAAUUGUGCUUCAACUUUAAGGACCUGAGGAGCUUCUCUUGCCGACGGUCUUUGUUUAUCAAUUGGAAGAGCACACCACAAUCCAAGAAUCAAUAUGCGUUCCAUCUCUUGCCCAUCAAAAUCCAUAUCUAAUCUCUCAUCGGCUGCAUCAAGAAUCUUCCCAGCUCCAUAGAGCUCCCAAACCCACUCCACGAGACCCAUAUGAGAGUCCUCAUAUUUACAUUUCCUCUUUCCAGUAGCAACUUCCAAGACCUCAAUUCCAAAGCUAUAUUUAUCUGAUGCUUCACUAGCCUUGCCUAGAUGGUAAUAUUCAGGUGCUAUAUAGCCAAAAGUGCCACCAACCUUUGUGGUUUGAUGCCUUAAAUUAGGGUCUCAAAUCAUAGAUACCCCAAAAUCAGCAAGCUUGGCAUUGAAAUUGAAGUCUAGCAUCACAUUAGCUGACUUGAUAUCUCUAUGCAAUAAACGUCGCCCUGAUUCUUCAUGAAGUUACAGCAAAGCAAAUGCCAAUUUAAGAAAUAUGUUCGAUCUCACAUUCCAUGGAAGAUGCGUGCCAUUUCCGAAAAGAUGUUUGUCUAGGCUUCUUUAUGCAUGUAAUCAUAGACAAUUAAGUAUUCAUCUUGCUCAUAACUCCAACCGAUCAACAGAACAACGCUCGUGCAAUCCAUCAGGCUCAUGAUUUUCAGUUCUGUUGUGAAAACUUCUCUUGCAUACUUGUGUCUGCUGCAGAUUCUAUUGACGGUAAACUAUCUUAUCAGAAUUGCUAAGGUACCCUCUGUAGACACUUGCAGUACCUCCUCUUCCCAACAUAUUUUCACUUGAAAAGUUCUCCGUAGCUUAAGCUAGUUCUCGGUUAAGGAGUAAUGCGGAUGCACUAGCUGCAGUCAUGAGGACACAAAUCACAACAAUAAAUUUCCGAUUAGCAUUUCCAUGCUUAUAUUUCAAAAGUGAACCUAAACGGCUUUCUAAAUAAAAAUUAUUCAAAGCCAUUUCAAUUUUUUUUGUAUCCAUCAAAUUUUGACUCCAGGUGAUCACUAUCCCCAUCCAUUGCACCUCCAUGCUUCAUGUUGCUACAGUAGAAGCAUUCAUUGACAACUGAAGUAAUCAGAACUUUUUUCCGGUCAUUACCAUGCUGCCACACCCCACGCAGGUAUGUUAUAUUAGCUAAGGUGGACAUCCGAACAAAAGCUGCUUCCACUUGUAUCAACUCAGAACUAAUAUUCCAAGAAACUUGAUCAUAGCUGGAGUUCGGAUUGUAGCUUGCUAUGGUACAUGUUCUUUCGUCAGCGUUUAUGUCCCUUGUGAUGGCCUCACUCUUAACAGCUUUGGAUAUGCACUUGAGGGUAUCAAGCAUGGUGACCCUAGCAAGAGGAUUAUCCUUGCAGGUGAGAGUGCCUCCACAGGAAAAAUUGCUGCCUUGUCAAAGGGGACUAGACAUGUUUGACAAAAAUGGAUCGACUGUGGGAAGAAGAACGAGAAAGACUGACAAUCCGAAAAGAAAGAAGACAGCAUUAGGAUGCAUGGACAAAAGAAUGAGUUGAACAGACAAUUGGAUUCUCAGUAAUGCAGAAUCAAAGUGCAGUGGUGAGUGUUGUUUUUGUACUUCAUAUACUAAUAGUAGGAAGAAUAUGAUUAUUAGUUAUUUAUUA